rnacentral:rRNA from 1 species
UACGAAGGGUGCAAGCGUUACUCGGAAUUACUGGGCGUAAAGCGUGCGUAGGCGGUUUGUUAAGUCCGUUGUGAAAGCCCUGGGCUCAACCUGGGAAUUGCAGUGGAUACUGGCGAGCUAGAGUGCGGUAGAGGAUGGUGGAAUUCCCGGUGUAGCGGUGAAAUGCGCAGAUAUCGGGAGGAACACCCGUAGCGAAGGCGGCACUCUGGGCCGGAACUGACGCUGAGGAGCGAAAGCGUGGGGAGCAAACAGGG